GCCGAGGUGGCGGAAUUGGCAUACGCGUCGGUCUCAAAAACCGAUGAGGGCAACUUCAUGCGGGUUCAACUCCCGCCCUCGGCA
rnacentral:tRNA from 1 species